UGAUUUGACAUAUUGAGCUACAAUGUAGUAAGUUUUGGGUAAAUUAUUAGAUUCCUUAGAUACAGAUCUUCCCCCAGCUACUAGUAGUGAAUGGCAGAAAUGAUUUUUAAAUGGCUGGUGUUGCUUCCCUAUCUAGCAGGCCAUUGCGAUCUUGAAGACUUGAAGUUCUGAAAUACUAAUAAAUUCCUCAAAUGUUUCUUUUUUCUUGUUUCAUGCGUCUGGACCUGUUGAGACAUUUUUCAUGUUAUAUAUGAGGCUUGUAAAUUAUUUCUUUCCUUUUUUUUUUUUUAAUAGUUCCUUCAACCAGUCAAUAUGAGGCUUGUAAAUUAUUUCUUUCCUUCUUGUUUCAUGCGUCUGGACCUGUUGAGACAUUUUUCAUGUUAUAUAUGAGGCUUGUAAAUUAUUUCUUUCCUUUUUUUUUUUUUAAUAGUUCCUUCAACCAGUCAUUGUUUGAAAUACUAAUAAAUUUCUCAAAUGUUUCCUUUUUAUCAUUCCAUGUGUCUGGACCUGUUGAGACAUUUUUCAUGUUUUAUAUGAGGCUUGUAAUUUUUUUUUUUAAAUAGUUCCUUCAGCCUGUCAUUGUUUGAAAAACUAAUAAAUUUGUCAAAUGUUUCUUUUUCCUUUUCGAUGUAUCUGCACCUGUUGAGUCAUUUUGCAUCUUGUAUAUGAGGCUUGUAUAAUUUAUGUAUUUAUUUAUUUUUCAUCUUUAACUGGUACUGAGACACAAUACCUACAUAUGUUAGUUCUACAACCGGUGAGAAAAGCUUCACAGGCAUGCUAUGCAGUCUCUGUAACAGUACAGAGACUGCAUAUGCUUGUCUUGCAUAUGAGAUCAAUUUAUGUUAUUUAUGGUACAAUGAUUUGUCUCUUAGAUAACAAUGAUUUGUGUCUCUUAGAUACCAGUUUUUUGUGCUGCAGUCCCCUAUCACGUCAGGAUCUUGUAAGUUGGAAGAUGGCACUUGAGAAGAGACAACU
rnacentral:lncRNA from 1 species